CCAUUGGGCUUUUGAGACCAAACAUCAGUACAACAGUUCUGUCUUCACAAUCCCCAAAUCAAAAAUGAAAUUCAACAAAGUUUUCAUUAUUGCCGCAGCCAUGAUUUUAUCCCUUAGCUCGACUGAAGCUAAACCCAAUCCAAAACCGGAACCCUUACCCGAGCCCAUUUUGAAUAUUGUCAAUGAUCUUCUCGGCGGACUUUUGGGUGGAAAGUAAAAAUAUCGAAUACAGUUAAAAUAUUUUCUUAAAGAAAAAUCCGUUUUUAAAAAUAAAGGAAAGAUUGGUAAAAACUUUUUGAAA